rnacentral:rRNA from 1 species
AUUGAACGCUGGCGGCAGGCCUAACACAUGCAAGUCGAGCGGCAGCGGAAAAGUAGCUUGCUACUUUUGCCGGCGAGCGGCGGACGUGUGAGUAAUGCCUGGGGAUCUGCCCAGUCGAGGGGGAUAACUACUGGAAACGGUAGCUAAUACCGCAUACGCCCUACGGGGGAAAGCAGGGGACCUUCGGGCCUUGCGCGAUUGGAUGAACCCGGGUGGGAUUAGCUAGUUGGUGAGGUAAUGGCUCACCAAGGCGACGAUCCGUAGCUGGUCUGAGAGGAUGAUAAGCCACACUGGAACUGACACACGGUCCAGACUCCUACGGGAGGCAGCAGUGGGGAAUAUUGCACAAUGGGGGAAACCCUGAUGCAGCCAUGCCGCGUGUGUGAAGAAGGCCUUCGGGUUGUAAAGCACUUUCAGCGAGGAGGAAAGGUUGGUAGCUAAUAACUGCCAGCUGUGACGUUACUCGCAGAAGAAGCACCGGCUAACUCCGUGCCAGCAGCCGCAGUAA